AACGAACGUUAGCGGCGCGCUUAACUCAUGCAAGUCGAGCGAGAAAGGGCUUCGGCCCCGGUAAAGCGGCGCACGGGUGAGUAACACGUAGGUAAUCUGCCCUCAGGUGGUGGAUAACUUUCCGAAAGGAAGGCUAAUACAGCAUGAGACCACGGUUCCGAAAGGGACAGGGGUCAAAGCCGGACAAUUCAUGAAAGCUGGUGCCAGAGGAUGAGCCUGCGGCCCAUCAGCUAGUUGGUAGGGUAAUGGCCUACCAAGGCGAAGACGGGUAGCUGGUCUGAGAGGAUGAUCAGCCACACUGGAACUGAGACACGGUCCAGACUCCUACGGGAGGCAGCAGUGGGGAAUCUUGCGCAAUGGGCGAAAGCCUGACGCAGCGACGCCGCGUGAGUGAUGAAGGCCCUCGGGUUGUAAAGCUCUGUGGAGGGGGACGAAUAAGGGUUGGCUAAUAUCCAACUUGAUGACGGUACCCCUUUAGCAAGCACCGGCUAACUCUGUGCCAGCCGCCGCCGUAAAAC
rnacentral:rRNA from 1 species